CAGUCGAACGCGAAAGCCUCCUUCGGGGGGCAAGUAGAGUGGCGCACGGGUGAGUAACACGUAGGUAAUCUACCUUUGGAUUGGGAAUAACCACCGGAAACGGUGGCUAAUACCGAAUAAUGCAGCGGCACCUAAUGGUGACAGUUGUUAAAGCGGGGGAUCGAAAGACCUCGCGUCUGAAGAGGAGCCUGCGGCAGAUUAGCUAGUUGGUAAGGUAACGGCUUACCAAGGCGAUGAUCUGUAGCCGGCCUGAGAGGGCGGUCGGCCACACUGACACUGACAUACGGGUCAGACUCCUACGGGAGGCAGCAGUCGGGAAUUUUGGGCAAUGGGCGAAAGCCUGACCCAGCAACGCCGCGUGAAGGAUGAAAUCCUUCGGGAUGUAAACUUCGCAAGAACGGGAAGAAUAAGUAAGGGUUAAUAUCUCUUACGAUGACGGUACUGUUUGUAAGCUCCGGCUAACUCCGUGCCAGCAGCCGCGGUAAUACGGGGGGAGCAAGCGUUGUUCGGAUUUACUGGGCGUAAAGGGCGCGUAGGCGGCCACCGCAAGUCGACUGUGAAAUCUCCGGGCUUAACCCGGAAAGGUCAGCCGAUACUGCGGGGCUAGAGUGCAGAAGGGGCAACUGGAAUUCUCGGUGUAGCGGUGAAAUGCGUAGAUAUCGAGAGGAACACCUGCGGCGAAGGCGGGUUGCUGGGCUGACACUGACGCUGAGGCGCGAAAGCUAGGGGAGCGAACGGGAUUAGAUACCCCGGUAGUCCUAGCCUUAAACGAUGAAUGCUUGGUGUC
rnacentral:rRNA from 1 species